AGCGUAGUAGUGCAGUGAUUUGAGCGUUGAACUGUGACUUGGGACUGGAGGCCAGGGUUCGAAUCCCUGCUUGGCCA